AUGUCUGCAUUUAGAAAACAUGAAUCUGGUUACAAAAAGCGUUUGAAGAAACAAAAAAAGGAUUUAACUCUGUCUCAAAAAGGAGAUAUGGAUAAUUUUGUCAUAGGAAUACCACAAGUGUCCUCCGAUAAUCAGUCACUUGAUAGAGAGCAUGCUCCGGAUAAUAAUGUUGACAAUGAUCCUAGCCCUAGAGAUGCCGAGACAUAGAUAGAAAAUAAUGUUGAGAGUGAAGAAAAUUGUGAUGACAUUGGGGCUAGUAAUACUGAUGCAGACGUUGAUGAUUCUUUUUAGUUUGAUAUAUUUGAUCCAAGAAAUUGGGAUUCCCUUAAUUCUAAGCAAAUUGAUAUUUUAGCACAAAAGGGCCCUCAAAGGGACAUGUCAUUUAAGAAAGGUCGUAAGGAUAAAUAUAAAAGGAGGUUUUCUGCACUAUUCUACACUAGAAUUCUAUUGAAUGGAGAGCAUUGCGAUAGGGAUUGGCUUGUCUAUUAUGAGGAACUCGAUAAAGUGUUUUGCUUCGGUUGUAAAUUAUUCGCAAAAGGGUAUCGAAAAGGUAAUUUGGCAAAUGAGGGGUAUAAUGAUUGGACACAUCUUGGCACUAGACUUAAAGAGCAUGAGACAAGUGCAGAUCAUGUUUUGAAUAUGACAACUUGGUAUGAGUUGCGUACUAGAUUACAAAAGCAUGAAACAAUUGAUAAAGCUGCUCAACGACAACUUGAGAGUGAAAAGGAGCACUGGAGAAAAGUUCUGUCCAGAAUCGUUUGCAUUGUAAAAUUCCUUGCCAGGCAUAAUCUAGCCUUUCGUGGUACUAACAGAAAAUUGUAUGAAGAUAGCAAUGGCAAUUUGGGUUUGGUUGAGAUGUUGGCUGAAUUUGACCCGGUUAUUCAAGAGCAUGUCCGUUGUAUUACAAAUGAAGAAACUCAUACUCAUUAUCUUGAUUUUAAGAUUCAGAAUGAGUUGAUACACCUACUUGCUUCUGCUAUUAGGUAUGAGAUUGUUAAGAAAAUAAAGGCAAAGUACUUCUCUGUCAUACUUGAUUGUACCCCAGAUGCAAGCCAUCAAGUUCAAAUGUCUAUAAUCAUAAGAUAUGUUGAUUCAUCUUCUAGUCAUGUUUGCAUAGAAGAAUCCUUUCUAGGAUUUUUAGAUGUGAAUGAUACGACUGGGCAAUGGCUUUUUGAAGUGCUAGAGAAUGAACUAAAGCUUCUUGAUCUUGAUAUAGAUGAUGUGAGAGGACAAGGUUAUGAUAACGGGUCAAAUAUGAAAGGAAACCAGCAAGGUGUCCAAAGGAGACUUUUGAAUGUAAAUCCUAGAGCAUUCUAUUCUGCUUGUGGUUGUCAUAGCCUUAAUUUGACACUUUGUGAUAUGGCUAAGACUUGCGGUAAAGCUAAAGACUUCUUUGGAAUCAUCCAACGCAUAUAUACGACUUUUGCUAAUUCUACUAAGAAAUGGCAGAUUCUGAAAAAUAACAUAACAGGACUAACUCCCAAGUCAGUGUCAGCUACACGCUGGGAGAGUCGUGUUGACAGUGUUAAAGCUAUUCGACUUCAAUGUGCAGACAUUCGGGAGGCCCUACUUCAGGUAUCUGAGACUGAUAAUGAUACAAAAACGAGCAGUGAGGCUAAAGGUUUGGCAAAUAAUGAACUUGGAGAGUAUGUAUUUAUAGUGGCGAUAGUCAUUUGGUAUGAGGUAUUGUAUGCUGUUAAUUUAGUAAGCAAACACUUGCAAGCAAAGGAUAUGCUUAUUGGUGUUGCUAUUGAGAAAGUGCAAGGAUUGCUUUCUUUCUUCAAGGGUUAUAGGGACACUGGUUUUUUAGAAGCAUUGGAGAUAGCCAAAGUAAUUGCACUUGAGAUGGAUAUUGGUACAACAUUUCAUAAAAGACGAGAAAUUAAAAGAAAGAGACAUUUUGAUGAGAACCCAGAUGAUGCAAACGUUGCCACACAGUCUGCAGAGGAAUCAUUCAGAGUCAACUAUUUUUUACGUAUUGUUGAUCAAGCAAUUCUCUCACUUACAAGCAGAUUUGACCAAUAUCAUGGUUACCAGAAAAUAUUUGGUUUCUUGUUUACCUCUGAAACAUUGCAAUCAUUGGAUAAGAAUAGCUUGAAAACUUCUUGUGACAAUCUUGAGGUUGCUCUUGAAAAGGAUGGGAAGUCUGACAUUGAUGCUAAUGAACUUUAUGUGGAGUUGAUGUUUCUUCAAAAUUUCAUGCCAAAGGAAAAUAUUGGGCCAGUUGAAAUUCUAAAGUUUUUGAAGCGGCAUGAUUGUUUCCCCAAUGCAUGUAUUGCAUAUAGAGUUCUGUUGACUAUCCCUGUGACUGUUACUUCGGCAGAACGGAGCUUUUCUAAAUUGAAGCUAUUGAAGUCCUAUAUGCACACUACCAUGACACAACAAAGGCUCACUGAUUUGGCCACAAUAGCACUGGAGAGUAAUCUAUUGGACAAGAUUGAUUAUGAGGAUAUUAUAGAGGAUUUUAUUACAAAGAACACUAAAAGAAUGAUGUUGUUUAAGUGA
rnacentral:rRNA from 1 species